ensembl:lncRNA
CUGGGGAACACGGAUCAGAACAUGGGAGGAUUUGGGGAGGAUAAGGGGAUAUGGACCACAGCCUACAGGAGCAGAGUGCUUCACAGGAGAAGGCAAGGUGUGAGGUACAGGUGGGACUUGUGGGUGCGGGGACGUCAGGUGGCAUGGGUACGUGGGGGGUCUGGGGGCUCGUGGGGAGCGGUUUGGGGUCAGAACGGAGGAUGUGGAGUAGUGCUGGAGUGCAUUCAUUGAUUUCUUCCUGAGAGGGGAUUGGGUUCCCUGCAGCCCAAAGGUGGAGCCCUGAUCCAUAACCCCACAUGAGCCCAGUACCACAUACUACUCCGCGUGACCCCGAGGCUCCACAUGACCCAUAACCCUGUGAGCACCAUAACCCCAUAUGAGGCUGUGGGCAGGGAUGGGUCUGUUCCUGGCUUGUUCAGGGGGUACUAUAAGGUGGCUCUGGGGCCACUGUAGGUCAGCAGCCUGAAUAAUCCUCUGACGCUCAUCUUGCCCUCAUCUUG